rnacentral:rRNA from 1 species
AGAGUUUGAUCAUGGCUCAGAACGAACGCUGGCGGCAGGCUUAACACAUGCAAGUCGAACGAUGUAGCAAUACAUAGUGGCGCACGGGUGAGUAACGCGUGGGAAUAUACCUUAUAGUGGGGAAUAACUUUGGGAAACUAAAGCUAAUACCGCAUACGCCCGAGAGGGGAAAGAUUUAUCGCUAUAAGAUUAGCCCGCGUGAGAUUAGGUAGUUGGUGGGGUAAUGGCCUACCAAGCCUACGAUCUCUAGCUGGUCUGAGAGGAUGAUCAGCCACACUGGAACUGAGACACGGUCCAGACUCCUACGGGAGGCAGCAGUGGGGAAUAUUGGGCAAUGGAGGAAACUCUGACCCAGCCAUGCCGCGUGAAUGAUGAAGGCCUUAGGGUUGUAAAGUUCUUUCGCCGAUGAAGAUAAUGACGGUAGUCGGGGAAGAAGCCCCGGCUAACUUCGUGCCAGCAGCCGCGGUAAUACGAAGGGGGCUAGCGUUGUUCGGAAUUACUGGGCGUAAAGCGAGCGUAGGUUGCUCGAUAAGUCAGUGGUGAAAGCCCAGAGCUCAACUCUGGAACUGCCGUUGAAACUGUCGAGCUGGAAUCUCAGAGGGGGUAGCGGAAUUCCAAAUGUAGGGGUGAAAUCCGUAGAUAUUUGGAGGAACACCGGUGGCGAAGGCGGCUACCUGGAUGAGUAUUGACACUGAGGCUCGAAAGCGUGGGGAUCAAACAGGAUUAGAUACCCUGGUAGUCC